rnacentral:lncRNA from 1 species
UGGUGGGAGUGUAAACUAGUUCAACCAUUGUGGAAGACAGUGUGACAAUUCCUCAAGGAUCUAGAACUAGAAAUACCAUUUGACCCAGUGAUCCCAUUACUGGGUAUAUACCCAAAGGAUUAUAAAUCAUGCUACUAUAAAGACACAUGCAUACGUAUGUUUACUCCAGCGCUAUUCACAAUAGCAAAGCCUUGGAACCAGCCCAAAUGUCCAACAAUGAUAGACUGGAUAAAGAAAAUGUGGCACAUACACACCAUGGAAUACUAUGCAGCCAUAAAAAAGGAUGGGUUCCUGUUUUUUGCAGGGACAUGGAUGCAGCUGGAAACCAUCAUUCUGAGCAAACUAUCACAAGGACAGGAAACCAAACACCACAUGUUCUCACUCACAGGUGGGAAUUGAACAAUGAGAUCACUUGGACACAGGGCAGGGAACAUCACACCCCAGGGCCUGUCAUGGGACUGGCCCCAGGCCCCAGGACUGGGGGAGGGAUAGCAUUAGGAGAAAUACCUAAUGUAAAUGACGAGUUAACGGGUCCAGCAAAACAACAUGGUACAUGUAUAGCCAUGUAACAAACUUGCACGCUGUUCAUAUGUACCCUAGAACUUAAUGUAUUAAGAAAAAAAAGAGCAAUGGCAAAACAUAGUGUGUUCAUGGAUUGGAAGACAACUUAAUAAAGAUAUUGAUUUUCCCUAAAUUAAUAUACAAGUGUAAUGUAAUUCCUAUCACGGUAAGAUGUUUUUGUUGAUAGAGACAAGAUUAUCCUAAGAUAUAUAUGGAAAGGUAAAGAAAGUAACAUAGCUAAAAUUACUUUGAAAAAGAAAAAUAAAUUGAAAGGGCUGGAUGCAGUGGCUCACACCUGUAAUCCCAACACUUUGGGAGGCCAAGGCAGAUGGAUCACGAGGUCAGGUGUUCGAGACUAGCCUGGCCAACAUAGUGAAACCCUAUCUCUACUAAAAAUACAAAAAAGAACAUGUGGCCUGACCAAGUCAUCAGCCUUUCUGAACCUCAGAGUACCCACCUACAAAUGGAAAUAGUAACAAUCAUUUCCUUAUAAAGCUGUUGCAAUUGUUAAUGUGUCCUGAAUUUUCACAAACUUAACACACCCUUGUAACCAGUGCCUUGAUCAUGAAACAGAACAUUUCCUGGCUCUCAGCAACUGCCUUGUGCUCUAUUCCUGUCACUAUGCCCCGGUAUAAUCACUAUCACUGUUCUGAUGUCUGAAAGCAUAGAUUAGCUUUGCCUACUUUGUAACUCACGUCAGUGAAUCAUGCGGGACGUGCUAUUUUGUAUCUGGCACCUUUUCCUUAACCUGCGACCCACACAUUGCCUGUAAUUGUAAAUUGUUCACUCACAUUACUGUAUUACAAAUUGUUCACUCACAUUACUGUAUAUUAUUCCAUUGUGUGAAUAUUCCACAGUGUAUUUAUCUGUUCAGUCCUUGAUGGGCAUUUAGGUUCCCGGAGUUGUUUUGAAGAGUGGGUGGUACAUACUGAUCUUUCACCAACUGAACACUCCGAGGGGACCAGCACCUAGGUGGAAAAACAAAAGCCUUCCACAUAUGCCCUUCCAGCCAGUAUACUCCAAGAGUAACUCAAAUAUUAUUUAAUUUUUAAAAGUAGUACUUGACUAUUAGUUAGCGUUGUUGAGGUCAGAAGAGAUCCUGACGCCAUCCAAAAAUGAAUUGUUCUCUUCUCCAGCAAGAGUUGUGCCAGAAAAUCAUUUGCGAUCAAUGAAAGUCCAUCCUCAUUAUCUGGAAGAGAGCGUGUUACCACCUUGAAAUCACUUGUACAGGGGUACGGGUGAGGCCUCGCUGAAGAGUCAGUCUCUUUAAAUCACUGAGAAAGGCUUCCUAUGAGAAUGGGUACAGGGCCCCUGGAUCUCUGAAGGUAGCUUCCUUAAAAGGAUUCAUCUUUAUCUCUAUUGUCUAAGGAAACAGGGCGUAAUCAGACCCUUUUGACUUUAAGGUUUAAAUAGAAAAAGUAGCCAACGUUUAUAUCAGUGUUUUUCAAACUAUGGGCCUUGAAUCACUAAUGGACCACCAGUAUUUGAAAAAAAAAAAAAUGACAGAAUAGAAUAGAGGAAGAUUAUAGGAAUGUCGAUCAUAUGUAGUAAAGGUAAGUUUUGUGAUACUUUUGUUUCAAAUCUAUGUAUAUGAGUGCCUGUGCACAAGU